rnacentral:rRNA from 1 species
AUUGAACGCUGGCGGCAUGCCUUACACAUGCAAGUCGAACGGCAGCGGGCCUUCGGGUGCCGGCGAGUGGCGAACGGGUGAGUAAUGCAUCGGAACGUGCCAUUGAGUGGGGGAUAACGUAGCGAAAGUUACGCUAAUACCGCAUAUUCUGUGAGCAGGAAAGCAGGGGACCGCAAGGACUUGCGCUCUUUGAGCGGCCGAUGUCAGAUUAGCUAGUUGGUGAGGUAAAGGCUUACCAAGGCGACGAUCUGUAGCGGGUCUGAGAGGAUGAUCCGCCACACUGGAACUGAGACACGGUCCAGACUCCUACGGGAGGCAGCAGUGGGGGAAUUUUGGACAAUGGGCGCAAGCCUGAUCCAGCCAUGCCGCGUGAAGUGAAGAAGGCCU